GAUGAACGCUGGCGGCGUGCCUAAUACAUGCAAGUCGAGCGAACAGACGAGGAGCUUGCUCCUCUGACGUUAGCGGCGGACGGGUGAGUAACACGUGGAUAACCUACCUAUAAGACUGGGAUAACUUCGGGAAACCGGAGCUAAUACCGGAUAAUAUAUUGAACCGCAUGGUUCAAUAGUGAAAGACGGUUUUGCUGUCACUUAUAGAUGGAUCCGCGCCGCAUUAGCUAGUUGGUAAGGUAACGGCUUACCAAGGCAACGAUGCGUAGCCGACCUGAGAGGGUGAUCGGCCACACUGGAACUGAGACACGGUCCAGACUCCUACGGGAGGCAGCAGUAGGGAAUCUUCCGCAAAGGGCGAAAGCCUGACGGAGCAACGCCGCGUGAGUGAUGAAGGUCUUCGGAUCGUAAAACUCUGUUAUUAGGGAAGAACAAAUGUGUAAGUAACUAUGCGCGUCUUGACGGUACCUAAUCAGAAAGCCACGGCUAACUACGUG
rnacentral:rRNA from 1 species